GCAGCUCGAAGACAGAUGGAUUUUGAGGAGGUGGACAGUGGCGCGGCAUCGCCACCGAGUACGUCGUCCGCCUCCACGACGCGCUCGCUGCUGACGCAACACCCGGUCGCCGCCACCGCCGCCGCCGCAUUCCCUGCGUCUUCUCUGUCUCUGGGAUGGCUCUCGUCGCGCAGCCCGAACGUCCCUUUAACAAUGUGCUUUAACUUCCUCGACGGCUCCUGCUACAGCAUGUGGGCGAUGCAACUCCUUCCCGUCUUCCUGCUCAAGACGUCAUCGAGCAUCAUUGUUGUGAGCUUUUCCGCCUCUGUAUGUAGCGCCGCGCAGCUGCUGGGAGCGCUUGUGGCCGGGUGCGUUGCCGACCGCCAGCCGCGGCAGCGCUCUAUUCGAGCAGGUGCCGGCUGUGCCAUGGUGGCACUCGCCGUCUUCGUUUGGGCUUUCUGGACUUCCCGCGUGUGGCUCAUCUUCGGCGCGCAGGCGCUGUGGGGCCUCUACACGGGUAUCACCUCGACCAGUGUGGAGGCGCUCUUCGCCGACAGCGUCCCUCAAGGACAGCGCACGGUCAUCUACAAUGUCAAGUGGGUCAUCCAGACGGUCUGCUACGUUGUCGGCUAUGGCGCGGCGGCGCUGCUCUUCUUUAAGUGGGGAAACUCGUGGGACCCGCGGCGCGUUCGCGUGGUGAUGACGCUCGGCGUGUUGGCACACCCAAUCGCCCUCGCGCCGCUGUGCUGCUUGCAGGACCGCUACGCUGUGAAGGAAGGGGACGAGGACAUUUCGCGUAGUAGCACGCAGCCCAACAUCGUGGCGGUCGAUGCGGCAUCCGCCGCAGAACGAGGCCGAGCGGCGGUGACCGCUACAGAAACCAAAGCUGUCGAGUCGCCUGUGCACUCGACCCUGCAGCCAACGACGCAGCAGCCGCCAGGUGCUGACUCCGUGUUGGCGGCUGGAUCGAUGGGCGUCGCCUUCUCCCAUGUCCCCACGGAUGGAGUUCGCCUCCGGUUCACGGAUGCGCUUCCGUUGAGCGCCUCCGCCGAGACCUUUGGAAGAGAAGGUUGCGAUGGCGACGCCGAAGACGUGCGGGAGAGAACAGCAACGACCGCGCACGCCGCGCUUAGGAAAGGCCUUCUCAGCGCACCUGUAAACGAUAGUGGCUCUUUUCAGCAGCAGCAACAGCAAAACUCAAGCAUCGUGUUACGGGACGACGGCGAAGGCGUGUCGUGGGUGCCCCGUAUUGUCGGCAGCCUCAGACACAGCCGCUGGCGUGGCUUGACGUCGGUGCCGUACUGGAUGUGCGUGGUCGAUCUCCUCCUCGCCAUCGGCUCCGGCAUGUCGGUGCCGUACUUCCCUGUGUUCUUGGCCUCUGAUCGCGAGAUCGGCCCCGCCGCUCUCAACGGCAUCUACAUCGCCUCCACCUUGCUGACCGCCGUCACCUCCAUGUGCCUGCCGUGGCUCAUUCACACCUGUGGGCUCGGCCGCGUCCCAGCAGCGCUGGGUGUGCGGCUUGUGGGCACAGCGGCACUCUUGAUGCUCACCACUGCCGCGACGUUGCCGGGCAUCAUCGCACUCUUUCUUUGCCGCAAUGCGCUCAUGAACUCCGUGUUUGGCAUCACCCGCAGCGUCAUCAUGGACUGCGUGACGAAGGACAGCCGCGCUAAGUGGUCGGCGCUCGAGAGCGUCUCGCUCGUUUCCUGGUCCGGCAGCGCCAUGAUUGGCGGUUACAUUACGAAGCAGCACGGCUACCGGUGCACCUUCGUCGCGACAGCGGUGCUUCAGUUCGUGGCAACGCUUCUCAUGAUACCGGCGGCUCUUGGCGCACGCGCGCUCGACGCCUCACUGAGUAAUGCGCCGCAGGUAGUGGAAGAUCUCACGCUGGCCGUCUCGCCGACAACACCCUAAGACACGGUUAACGAGGUGCGUGGCAGACGGCUCCGGCAUGUAAAGUGUGCGUCAGCGCAAGGCGGCAACAUCAUUUCUCGCGUAUUUCUUUGCGCACGUGGUGCAACGCACGAGAGGCGCAAGCAGGGUCUACCGCGCACCGACACACAUCAGCGUUUCAAGCAUUCAUCAACCCUGUCACGCCGCUGCUGCUUGCACUGCCGACGCUGGGGUUGCCACCGACCUUGCUCCGGUGUGCGCGUCGCGAUCGCCUCUUGCGGUCGAGCGCACAGGGCGCCCCCCG
rnacentral:misc_RNA from 1 species